rnacentral:rRNA from 1 species
AAAUUGAAGAGUUUGAUCAUGGCUCAGAUUGAACGCUGGCGGCAGGCCUAACACAUGCAAGUCGAACGGUAACAGGAAGAAGCUUGCUUCUUUGCUGACGAGUGGCGGACGGGUGAGUAAUGUCUGGGAAACUGCCUGAUGGAGGGGGAUAACUACUGGAAACGGUAGCUAAUACCGCAUAACGUCGCAAGACCAAAGAGGGGGACCUUCGGGCCUCUUGCCAUCGGAUGUGCCCAGAUGGGAUUAGCUAGUAGGUGGGGUAACGGCUCACCUAGGCGACGAUCCCUAGCUGGUCUGAGAGGAUGACCAGCCACACUGGAACUGAGACACGGUCCAGACUCCUACGGGAGGCAGCAGUGGGGAAUAUUGCACAAUGGGCGCAAGCCUGAUGCAGCCAUGCCGCGUGUAUGAAGAAGGCCUUCGGGUUGUAAAGUACUUUCAGCGGGGAGGAAGGGAGUAAAGUUAAUACCUUUACUCAUUGACGUUACCCGCAGAAGAAGCACCGGCUAACUCCGUGCCAGCAGCCGCGGUAAUACGGAGGGUGCAAGCGUUAAUCGGAAUUACUGGGCGUAAAGCGCACGCAGGCGGUUUGUUAAGUCAGAUGUGAAAUCCCCGGGCUCAACCUGGGAACUGCAUCUGAUACUGGCAAGCUUGAGUCUCGUAGAGGGGGGUAGAAUUCCAGGUGUAGCGGUGAAAUGCGUAGAGAUCUGGA